CAGCAGCCGCGGUAACACGUAGGGGGCUAGCGUUGUUCGGACUUACUGGGCGUAAAGGGCGCGUAGGCGGAUUUGUAAGUCAGGGGUGAAAUCCCGAGGCUCAACCUCGGAACUGCCUUUGAUACUGUGGAUCUUGAGUCCGGGAGAGGUGAGUGGAACUGCGAGUGUAGAGGUGAAAUUCGUAGAUAUUCGCAAGAACACCAGUGGCGAAGGCGGCUCACUGGCCCGGAACUGACGCUGAGGCGCGAAAGCGUGGGGAGCAAACAGGAUUAGAUACCCCGGUAGUCCCUGUCUCUUAUAC
rnacentral:rRNA from 1 species